UCUUCAUCUUGUUUUCUCUAUUCUCUCACUUUGUUGUAAUAUUUGUUGAUAGUGAAGUUAUCAUCCGGAGUGGUGCCCGAGGAGUAGACGAUAUUCUCGUAGAACCUCAUAAAUUUGGUCAAUUUUGAAACUAUGUUCGUGUGGGAAAUAACUCGAUUUCCCCAACAUUGUCAACUUUGCCGAAUCUUUCUUUGAGAUCUUUCCAAACAUUAGCAGCAUCAGAUGCGAAAACGAUUCCAGCUGAGAGCUCUUGACUUACGGUGUUGAGAAUCCAAGAAAGGAUGAUGGCAUUGCAUCGAUCCCACUGAGGAUGAACAACCUCGGCAUUAUCUUCCUGGUGACAAACUCCAUCAACAAAAACGAGUUUGUUUUUUGCGAGCAAAACAAUGCACAUUGAUCGACUCCAAACAUUGUAAUUGUCUAAGCCAGUCAAUUGAUGAGAGACCAAAACGGUAUCCGGAAUAUCGGACGGAUGAAGAUAAAGAGGAUGAUGAAAAGUAAUCUCAUCCAUAGCCAAACGAAGAAGGCAGUCGAAAGAAGAAAAUAUGAAAAAUUGGGAGAAAAGAAAACCUAAUCAGGAAUUAGAAAAAAACGAAGAGGAGAAGCCCACCUCUACAGGCCGAAAAAUCGUCAAAAUAUCAACUCAUAUGAUACCAUGUUAAAAAUGCUUUUUCUUGUAUUCAAUUAUCUGUACAAUAAGUAUAAAAUC